rnacentral:rRNA from 1 species
CAGCAGCCACGGUAAUACGAAGGGUGCAAGCGUUAAUCGGAAUUACUGGGCGUAAAGCGUGCGUAGGCGGUGAGUUAAGUCUGCUGUGAAAUCCUUGGGCUCAACCUGGGAAUGGCAGUGGAUACUGGCAAGCUAGAGUGUGUCAGAGGAUGGUGGAAUUCCCGGUGUAGCGGUGAAAUGCGUAGAGAUCGGGAGGAACAUCAGUGGCGAAGGCGGCCAUCUGGGACAACACUGACGCUGAGGCACGAAAGCGUGGGGAGCAAACAGGAUUAGAUACCCCCGUAGUCCCUGUCUCUUAUAC